rnacentral:rRNA from 1 species
AGCCUGUCUCAGUUCGGAUUGGAGUCUGCAACUCGACUCCAUGAAGCUGGAUUCGCUAGUAAUCGCGCAUCAGCCAUGGCGCGGUAAAUACGUUCCCGGGCCUUGUACACACCGCCCGUCAAGCCAUGGAAGCCGGGAGUGCCUGAAGUGUGCAACCGCAAGGAGCGCCCUAAGGUAAAACUGGUGACUGGGGCUAAGUCGUAACAAGGUACC